rnacentral:rRNA from 1 species
UUGUACCCUAUUAUUCCAUCUUUUAAAAAGUAAACUUGAAUAGUAAUCAGUUAUUAUCUUGAAACUUAAAGGGUUUGACGGUAUCCAAGUCUAGUUAGAGGAACCUGCACAGUCAACGAUACUCCGCGAAAAAUCUUACUUUUGUUUGUAUUUCAGUAUGUAUACCUCCAUUAUUAAACAAUAUUGAUAAGUACGUGUUAUAAGAGAAUAAUCUAGAAUAUUAGGUCAAGGUGCAGCUUAUACAAAAGUUGUUGUGGGUUACUUUUUUAUAUAAAUUCGGAUGUGGUUUUUAUAAGGCCGCUGAAGGUGGAUUUAAUUGUAUUGGUGGUUUAAUACGCCGCUAUGAUAUUAGCUCUAGGAUAUGUACACUCCGCCCGCCUCUAAAAAAAACG